UACGUAGGGUGCGAGCGUUGUCCGGAAUUAUUGGGCGUAAAGAGCUCGUAGGCGGCUUGUCACGUCGGGUGUGAAAGCCCCGGGCUCAACCUGGGAAUUGCAUUCGAGACUGAAUAGCUAGGGUACGGUAGAGGGAAGUGGAAUUUCCGGUGUAGCGGUGAAAUGCGUAGAUAUCGGAAGGAACAUCAGUGGCGAAAGCGACUUCCUGGACCAGUACCGACGUUCAGGCACGAAAGCGUGGGGAGCAAACAGG
rnacentral:rRNA from 1 species